rfam:Brachypodium distachyon strain Bd21 chromosome 4, whole genome shotgun sequence.
CUACUACUCCCUCCGUCCAGUAUUAAGUGUCGCAACUUUGUCUAGAUACACAUGUACCUAAAGUUAAAACACGUCUAGAUGCAUGCGUACCUAGACAAACUUGCGACACUUAAUGCCGGACGGAGGGAGUAAUAU